rnacentral:misc_RNA from 1 species
AACGCACAUUGCGCUCCCUGGUAUUCCGGGGAGCAUGCCCGUUUCAGAAUCAUUAAAAUCUCACAAACCUGGUUUACGUUCGCGGAAACCGGGGGACGUGGAUGUGGGUGCACUUGCAAGCCUGCCUUGCGAUGCGUCUAUAAAUGAUUGUGACGUGCGCCAAUUGUCUUGUCAACUGGUCGUCCGAAGCGCAACAGAUUCAUCUAUUCGUUUUGGUCAUCAGCUGGCUGGCUUGGAGGCAUGUACUCAACUUGUCAACCGGGGCCCUGCAGUUUGCAGAGCUCGCUGAUAACUUGGUCUGAAAUCGGGCAAGAAAACCCGCUGAACUUAA